rnacentral:misc_RNA from 1 species
AGGUGGAUCAUUAGCGAAGCCCGAUGCGGGUGCAAACUCAAUGCUGCGCAAGCGGCCUAUGUCGUUGUUGUUGUUUAAUCCACAACUGUCAGCAAGGGAUCGUUUGGUUCUCGUGUCGAUGAAGAGCGCAGCGAGGUGCGAAAAUUGGCGUGACACGCAGAGGUGAGCGUCGAGUGCUUGAAUGCAGCGUGCACCGUUACGGUGUGUCUGUCUGGGUGUGUGUUCUUCCAAGAAUUCUUGUGUGCGCUGUGGACGCGUUCAGGUGACUGGACCCGCAGUGUCAAUCGUCGGUGUGCAGCGAAUAGUGUCGUCUGUGCAGAAGUGUCCUCACCCCAGAUCAGAUACGACUACCCGCUGAACUUAAGCAUAUCAGUAAGCGGAGGAAAAGAAACUAACAAGGAUUCCCGCAGUAACUGCGAGUGAAGAGGGAUCAGCCCAGCCUUGGAAUCUGUGGCCGGCGGCCGCAGAGUUGUGGGUUGGUGUGCCGAUGCCCUGCGCUUCGACUCCGCCGAACUGGCCCGGAAUGGCCGGACGUAGAGGGUGAUAUUCCUGUGCGGCGGAGUGGUUGCGUUCGGCGCGGCUCGUCGAGUCGGACUGUUUGGGAUUGCAGUUUGAAGUGGGUGGUAGACUCCAUCUAAGGCUAAAUACGAACGAGAGACCGAUAGCGAACAAGUACCGUGAGGGAAAACUGAAAAGGGCCUUGGAAAGGGGGUGAAAAGUGCGUGAAAUUGCUGACAGGGAACCGGGUGGCUGCGCGGUGUCGGGUGGCUUCUGCCCCCGAACAGUUUCCGGCUUUCUGAGCCGGCGGAGUGCGUAUUCCCAAACUGAGCGCAGCCAGCCGACCCGUCUUGAAACACGGACCAAGGAGUCUAGCAAGCGUGCGAGUACAACGGUGGCAAACCGUGGUGCGAAGCGAAAGCGAACGUUGCCGGUGCAUGCGGCAUCGUCCGAGCCAAGGGUUCGCCCGCGGCAUUGAGACAGAGCACGGUUGCUGGGACCCGAAAGGAGGUGAACUAUGCCCGGGUAGGGUGAAGCCAGGGGAAACUCUGGUGGAGGCUCGAAGCGGAUCUGACGUGCAAAUCGAUCGUCAAACCCGGGUAUAGGGGCGAAAGACUAAUCGAACCUCCUAGUAGCUGGUUCCACU